GACGAACGCUGGCGGCGCGCCUAACACAUGCAGGUCGAACGAGCGAGAGAGAGCUUGCUUUCUCGAGCGAGUGGCGAACGGGUGAGUAACGCGUGAGGAACCUGCCUCAAAGAGGGGGACAACAGUUGGAAACGACUGCUAAUACCGCAUAAGCCCACGGUGCCGCAUGGCACAGAGGGAAAAGGAGCAAUCCGCUUUGAGAUGGCCUCGCGUCCGAUUAGCUAGUUGGUGAGGUAAUGGCCCACCAAGGCGACGAUCGGUAGCCGGACUGAGAGGUUGAACGGCCACAUUGGGACUGAGACACGGCCCAGACGCCUACGGGAGGCAGCAGUGGGGAAUAUUGCACAAUGGGGGAAACCCUGAUGCAGCGACGCCGCGUGGAGGAAGAAGGUCUUCGGAUUGUAAACUCCUGUUGUUGGGGAAGAUAAUGACGGUACCCAACAAGGAAGUGACGGCUAACUACGUA
rnacentral:rRNA from 1 species